CCCCGUCAGGAGAUGUGUGUUUCUCCACAAGGGCUCGCAAUGGCUGCUUCCUUUCCAGGCAUCACAGGCAGCCUCAGCAACAGCCAGAGGAGAGGGGAGAGGAUGGAACCUCAUGGCCACCCCGAAGCCACUCACAGGCAAAGGGAAGGAGAUCACCAGAGAGACUGGCCUAGAGAGUGAGGAUUGCACUUCCCUGACUCAUGGAGAGGAGAGAGAGAGACAGCCAGCAAGAGAGAGAAC